CAUGAUUGCAAGACAUCAAAUUCCACGUUUUCUAAACGCGAUUCUUUUAUAUUGGUUUUGUACAAAUUGCAGUGGCUUGAGACCAUCCUUUCUGCUGCAUUGAGGAAGAAAUCCAGUGAAGAAAGGCAACUUAUUAGUUCCAAGUUUGGUCUCUCAGAUGUCCAACCCCUAGUCUGCUUUGCCCUUUGUACUGGAGCUUUUUCUGAUCCUGUGCUAAGAGUCUAUACAGCAUCAAGUGUUAAAGAGGAAUUGGAGGUUGCAAAAAGAGAGUUUCUUCAAACAAAUACAGUUGUGAAGAAGUCAAGGAGAGUGUUUCUACCCAAGUUGAUUGAAAGAUUUGCAAAGGAAGCCUCUAUCAACUCAGAUGAUCUUCUGAAGUGGAUUACCGAAAAUGUUGAUAAGAAACUCCAUGAUUCAAUUCAGAAAUGCAUCGAUAGGAAAUCAAACAAAAAGGCAUCUCACGUCAUAGAGUGGUUACCUUACAGCUCAAGGUUCCAGUAUGUUUUCUCAAAGGAAUUAACAGAGAAGCCAUCGUGGGCAUGAGUUUCUUUCUAAAUGCCUUACUUGCGGGGGACAACAUCUCUGUCAGAAGCCAUUCGGUAUUGCUUGGCUUGGGAAAAAAGGACAUUAGUUAUGGGUACUUCUGAUCUACAUUUAUUGUCCAUCUGAUCUUUGCCCAUUUUAGAUAACACUUUGUAGCCCAUGAAUUUUAAAUUCCUUUGUGACUACUGUAAUAGUAAAUUGACUUGUUCAUUAA